GAUGAACGCUGGCGGCGUGCCUAAUACAUGCAAGUCGAGCGAACGGACGAGAAGCUUGCUUCUCUGAUGUUAGCGGCGGACGGGUGAGUAACACGUGGAUAACCUACCUAUAAGACUGGGAUAACUUCGGGAAACCGUAGCUAAUACCGGAUAAUAUUUUGAACCGCAUGGUUCAAAAGUGAAAGACGGUCUUGCUGUCACUUAUAGAUGGAUCCGCGCUGCAUUAGCUAGUUGGUAAGGUAACGGCUUACCAAGGCAACGAUGCAUAGCCGACCUGAGAGGGUGAUCGGCCACACUGGAACUGAGACACGGUCCAGACUCCGACGGGAGGCAGCAGUAGGGAAUCUUCCGCAAUGGGCGAAAGCCUGACGGAGCAACGCCGCGUGAGUGCUGAAGGUCUUCGGAUCGUAAAACUCUGUUAUUAGGGAAGAACAUAUGUGUAAGUAACUGUGCACAUCUUGACGGUACCUAAUCAGAAAGCCACGGCUAACUACGUG
rnacentral:rRNA from 1 species